GAUGAACGCUGGCGGCGUGCCUAAUACAUGCAAGUCGAGCGAAGCGGGGACGGGUGAGUAAUACGUGGAUAACCGCCUAUAAGACGGGGUUAACUCCGGGAAACCGGACUUAAACCCGUUACUGAUAGAUGGAUCCGCGCUGCAAUAGCUAGUGGGUAAGGUAACGGCUUACCAAGGAAACGAUGCAUAGCCGCGCUGAGAGGGUGAUCGGCCACACUGGAACUGAGACACGGUCCAGACUCCUACGGGAAGCAGCAGUAGGGAAUAUUGCGCAAUGGGCGAAAGCCUGACGGGGCAAGGCCGCAUGAGUGAGGAAGGUCUUCGGAUCGUAAAACACUGUUAGUGGGGAAGCGGUACCUGCUAAGAAAGCAACGGCUAACUCCGUGCCAGCAGCCGCGGUAAUAC
rnacentral:rRNA from 1 species